rnacentral:lncRNA from 1 species
UUGCGGCUAUGGCAGUAGCCAGAGCUCCCAAUCGUCUUACGGGCAGCAGUCCUCCUACCCUGGUUAUGGCCAGCAGCCAGCUCCCAGCAGCACCUUGGGAAGUUACGGUAGCAGUUCUCAGAGCAGCAGCUAUGGGCAGCCCCAGAGUGGGAGCUACAGCCAGCAGCCUAGCUAUGGUGGACAGCAGCAAAGCUAUGGACAGCAGCAAAGCUAUAAUCCCCCUCAGGGCUAUGGACAGCAGAACCAGUACAACAGCAGCAGUGGUGGCGGAGGUGGAGGUAACUAUGGCCAAGAUCAAUCCUCCAUGAGUAGUGGUGGUGGCAGUGGUGGCGGUUAUGGCAGUCAAGACCAGAGUGGUGGAGGUGGCAGCGGUGGCUACGGACAGCAGGACCGUGGAGGCCGCGGCAGGGGUGGCAGUGGUGGUGGCGGCGGCGGCGGCGGCGGCGGUGGUGGUUACAACCGCAGCAGUGGUGGCUAUGAACCCAGAGGUCGUGGAGGUGGCCGUGGAGGCAGAGGUGGCAUGGGGUAGGUGUCUCACGAGCCAGGGAGUAUCUUUGGUGGGGAGUGUGGAGGAUUGCAUGAAUCUCCCUGAAGCCAGUCCCUAGUGCAUGGUUUAGUAUUCUUGUUGUCUAGGGAUCUGUGAGGGCUUUGAUUUGGGGGCAGUGACUUUCUUUUUACAUCCCCAUUUUAUUUUUGUGAGAACUUGGGAUCCUGAACUCCCAUCCAUACCACUGAAUAGAGAUUUUGAGUAAUGAUACUUGUUUCCAAAAAAAAAAAAGAAACCAUACAUAGAUACGUAUGGAUUGGAGUCAUUAAUAUCCUAGGCAAGAAACAUGGAAGUGAAGACUUCUUUCUCUGCAAGGGAAACCGAUGAUCCCACUCCUGGGAAAUAGUAGGGAAACUUGGUAUGUGUAUUCCCAUGUGUCCUCUAGGGAGUUGGUAAUGGUUAACCUGACUUCAGCUUCCAGGAAUUGGCUACUCUUCCCGUUUUCUAUAGUCAUUUGAAUCCACGAGCUUGAUUUGCACUAAUUUGACCGACAUUGAUUUUGUGUGUGACUUGGUUUAUGGGGCCAGCUGACUGAAGUAAGCAGACCUUUUGGGCAAAAAUAUGCUUUGACAGUGGUCUCCCACCUAUUUGUUCCACUGUCUGCCUUCCCCUGGUUACUUAAAAUUCAUCAGCUUGUCCAACUGGACCUUCUUUCCUUCCUGCUGAAGUUGAUUUGAAGUAAAACCUUAGAUUUGAUGUUAAAACAGUUGUCAAAUCUGUUGGUAAAUAAGAUUUGAAGGACCCUACUCUGUCUCCCAUGAAAAAGGGGAGGAAUGUCAGUGUUACUGUUUUUGGAAAAAGUAGAUUUUUAAACCGAGUUUGGAAAUGGUAAGUAUGCAGAGGUGGGUGGGGGCAAUCUCAAAAACGUGCAAAAAUGAGGAAAACAAAAAUGAGGAAAUGUGUGCGUGUGUUUAAUGCAAAACUUUAAAAAGAAAAACAACUGUUAUGUGACUGUUAACUUGCUCUGCAUUUUAUGUGCCACAGGUAUGAAAGGUGACAUUGCAAAAUACUCCGCUCUUCUCGCAGUGUAGAAGGGGUGACCCCGGGGGUUGGGGGAGAUCAAAAACAGCUCAGUAGUUAGGACAGAGCUUAGCUAAGUUUGUCUUGCUUUAAGGGGAAGUUGCCUUUGGUUUUGACUUUUUAUGGAAUGGGGUUGGGUCUGCUUGCUGCUUUCAAAGCAAAAACCACAAAAAUGUGUUCAAGGCUACCCCAGCCUGGUGUGAAAUGUCUUCUGGGUAAAUUGGGGUAGGGUUUUUAAACCAACUACUUGGUUGUCAACCACUUGCGACAAGAGGAAAAAAAAACAUCUGCUCCAUCGGAAGAACGACCAAGGAAAAUGGGUUAUUUUUUUUCCAGAGGAAAUAGAUACGUAACCUUUUAAAGCAAAAUCUUUAUAAACUGUGUCUGAGAAAUUGCACACGUGUGUGUGACAUGCUCAAAGGUCAGACAAGGGGUGGUCAGGAAGGGAUGUAUUUUAGUAGCCACUUGUAUCUUUUUCCAAAAACACCUACCCGUGUUUGGGGAAUGUUAAACAAAAUCAAAAAACAACCUUUUGUAGCCGUUGGAAGCUUCAUGUCCUUUCUUCUAACUUGUCUUCUCCAGCGGAAGUGACCGUGGUGGCUUCAAUAAAUUUGGUGGUAAGUGAACAGAGUUUCCAAAAUUCCCAACUCCCAGCAAUGCUUUGUCUGAUUGUUCAUUUGCAGAUGUCUUAGCGUGUUAAUUUAAAUGUCAAAGGUUUUGAGGUGUCCAGAACCACCUCCAGAAAGGGGUAGGGUAGAAUGCCACCUGUUGCCUGGUGUGUGCUAACCUGGAGCAGGUAGGGGUAAGACUCAAUAGUCAUCUUUUACCAAAUGGGUUUGCCCCAGGUUAAUAAGAGGGGUCUAGUAGGCCUUGGACUGGGCUGUUGCCACACCUGGCACUUAGUGACCAUCAUCAUGAGAAACUGGAGAGUGCGUGCUGGAACACGUGGUGCCAUCUUGGCUUUAGGAUCCUUUUGAUCGUUGUGUCCAAGGCUUGUGUGUGUGUGAGUGUGUGGGAGACAACUCCGAAUGUUUAAUUCUGGAAGAGGGAUGUAACAUUGCCCUGAGGAUGGUGAAGUUGGUAUACAUUUAUAAAGUACGGAAUGGUGUCAAUGAAUGCAACUCUAUGUAUAUGGACUUAACUGAGAUGGGCAAAUAGAAACUAGCUCUGGGAAGGAACAUGUGCACUACUUCAAGAAAGAUUGGAAGCAUGUGUGGCUCAUGGGAAAUAACCAGGUCUUAAACAGCACAAACUGAAUUCAUGGACCAGGAAGGUCUUAAACAGCACAAACUGAAUUCAUGGAAAAAUGACAAAUUUGAGAAGUCUCCCAGUAAGCUGGAACUUUUCUGGUUUGGUUAACUAACAAAAGGUUUCUUGAUUUGUUUCAAGAUUUAAAGCCAAAGGCGUGGGUUCAUGACUUAGGUGUCAUUGCGUGUGGGUACAAUAUUUAUAUAUGGCGAAUUCAGAUAAACAUUGGUCAAAGAUGGUCUCUGGAAAAACAAAAUAGAGGCUGCAUUACAGAAAUAAGAUUUCUG